rnacentral:rRNA from 1 species
GUGCCUAACACAUGCAAGUCGAGCGAGAAAAGGGGGGCAACUCCCUGAGUAAAGCGGCGCACGGGUGAGUAACACGUGGGUAAUCUGCCCUGGAGUGGGGAAUAACACCGGGAAACCGGUGCUAAUACCGCAUACGAUCACGAUGUCUGCGGAUGUUGUGAUGAAAGGAGCAAUUCGCUCCAGGAGGAGCCCGCGGCUGAUUAGCUAGUUGGUGAGGUAAUGGCUCACCAAGGCUACGAUCAGUAUCCGGUCUGAGAGGACGGUCGGACACACUGGAACUGAGACACGGUCCAG